rnacentral:rRNA from 1 species
UGAGGAAUAUUGGUCAAUGGGCGUAAGCCUGAACCAGCCAAGUCGCGUGAGGGAAGACGGUCCUACGGAUUGUAAACCUCUUUUGCCGGGGAGCAACGGGGUCCUUGCGAGGGCCCGAUGAGAGUACCCGGAGAAAAAGCAUCGGCUAACUCCGUGCCAGCAGCCGCGGUAAUACGGAGGAUGCGAGCGUUAUCCGGAUUUAUUGGGUUUAAAGGGUGCGUAGGCGGGCUGUUAAGUCAGCGGUCAAAUGUCGGGGCUCAACCCCGGCCUGCCGUUGAAACUGGCGGCCUCGAGUGGGCGAGAAGUAUGCGGAAUGCGUGGUGUAGCGGUGAAAUGCAUAGAUAUCACGCAGAACUCCGAUUGCGAAGGCAGCAUACCGGCGCCCUACUGACGCUGAGGCACGAAAGCGUGGGUAUCGAACAGG